rnacentral:misc_RNA from 1 species
ACCACUAUACCAGACUGUACCUACCACGUUGUUGUGUUAUUCAAACACAACCUAUAAAUUGACAGAUAAGCAUAUUACAGUUAAAAAUUGAAUUAUAUACGAUUAUCACGAAAAAUAAUUUCACAACGACAAUAUAAUGGACGAGAAAAGUGAUACUGACAAUUCAGAAUUCAAGAAACCAGCUGUAAUAUCCGAGGGAAAGGCUGAAAUACUCUUGUUGGAGAAAAAUGUGUUUUACAAUCCGGUACAAGAGUUUAAUCGAGAUCUCAGCAUCGUCGUCCUAAGUGCUUUUUCAAAAGAUCGCCAAUUAAAUAAAGAGGAAAAUGCAACUGCUCCGUGUGACAAACUUUCACAAAGUCAACAAAGUGUUACAGCUAAAAAAAAGAAGGAAUUAGAAAAUGAAGAUGGAAUAACAAUUUUAGAAGCUCUGUCAGCCACUGGGUUGCGCAGUAUAAGAUACGCAAAGGAAGUUCCAUUUAUCAAACAGAUUGUAGCCAAUGACAUUUCAGCCAAAGCUGUCGAAAGUAUAAAAAAAAAUAUUGCUCACAACAAAGUGGAAGAUGUAGUUGUUGCAAGUCACGAAGAUGCAACAAUGCUCAUGUACCAGAGGAGAAAAGACCGUUUCCAUGCCAUUGAUUUGGAUCCUUAUGGUUGUCCAUCCAUAUUUUUGGAUGGUGCUGUCCAAUGUGUAGUCAACGGUGGUUUACUCAUGGUUACAGCGACCGACAUGGCUGUAUUAGCCGGUAAUUCUCCAGAGACCUGUUAUGUGAAAUAUGGUGCUGUUUCCUUGAAAUCGAAAUCUUGUCACGAAUUCGCUUUGAGAAUUCUUCUGCAGCAUAUAUCGACGCACGCCGGUCGUUAUGGACGUUACAUUGUUCCAUUACUCUCGAUAAGUGUUGAUUUUUAUAUUCGCGUAUUUGUACGCGUUCACGUUGGACAGUUGCAAUGUAAAAACAACACGAGUCAAUUGGGAAUGGUUUACCAAUGCAACGGUUGCGAAUCGAUUGCGAUUCAUCGAUUGGGUUUGAGAAAACAGGAUGGAGCGUACAAACUUCCAAAUGGACCACCCGUCGAUCGUCUGUGCAAAUUUUGUCAGCACAGUCACCACAUGGGAGGACCAAUCUGGUUGGGAAUUUUACAUGACAAACGCUUCGUUUCGAAGCUCUUAAACAACAUGUCUAACUCGGAGCUGGGCACGAGCAAAAGAUUGAUUGGUGUUUUAAGUGUUGUUCUCGAAGAAUUGGAUAUUCCUCUUUAUUACACUCUCGAUCGUUUGAUGUCGAUCGUUCGAUGCCAAACUCCACCGAUGGUUGUGUUCAGAUCAGCAUUGCUCAAUGCAGGCUUCAAAGUCACGUAUUCUCACGCUAACAAAGUAUCCAUAAAAACGGACGCUCCAAAUGAGGUCAUCUGGGAUAUAGUUCGAGCUUGGGAAAAGACUCAUCAAUCGAAACGGGAUAGAAUGGAAAAAGGCUGCCCCGCAUUGGCCAUUUUGGAGGCUCCUAUAACGACCGACGUUAAAUUCGAUCUUCGACCUGACGCUAAUCCUCGUUCAAGGCAAGCGCACAUGUCAAGGUUCCAGGUAAACCCAACGGCGAAUUGGGGACCAGGUGCUCGUUCGACUACAAUAGUCGAUCCGAGCGAAAAAACCUCAAAGAGGCAAAGAAACCAAAACAAAAAUACAAAGCACAAGAAGCAGUGGAACGUCGACAAGAAAGAUGAGAAACAAAUCGAAGGAGGACAAGAACAAGGAGCAAUACAGUCGAUUGAAGAAACGUUUUCGGAAGAGGUUGAGAAAAGUGUUAAAAAAAAAAAUGAUGUCGAAAACGUGGUUGGAAAAAUUUUCUUAGCCACUGAAUCUGAGAAUUUAUCGUUAAAGCGCACCAACGAUGAGCCAGUGAAUUCCGUGACUGGUGAUUCGGAGCGAUCUGCAAAAAAUCUUAAAACUUGUCCGUGAAAUGAGACAAGAACAGAAAGCGUUGAUCGGUAGAAUUGGGCCCCUGAAAGAAUGAAACUUCGAUGGAGAGGAAAGAGGGUAUUUCUAGGACGAUAAUACAGAAAAUCGAGAUGGUUCAACGCCAAAUUCUCGUACUGCGACGUAUGAGAGAAACAAAAAGAAAAGAGAGAGAAGAAGAUGGAGCAGAGGGAGAGGGAAAAUUCAUGAAGGAACUGUAG